UUCCUUUUUUGUUCCCCGACGACCCCGAUGGGCUUAGGCAUGAAUGUCAGAGAUCAAUAUUGAACUUUUUUUUGAUGAACUUGAAUGCCUUCAAAUGCUCACGAGAAUCACAUCGAAAGAUGAGGAAAAAAGUCAGGCUCUUCGCCUCUCGGACCCCAAUGUCUCUCACAACCUCUUGGUCGAGAGAUUUCGGGGCGACGCUCCUCCUUUCCUUCAUCCUCCUCCAAGAUCUUUGUGGUGAUCCUCUG
rnacentral:lncRNA from 1 species